ensembl:lncRNA
GAGUACGAAGGGCUCAAGCCAAAGCCUUCCGCCAAGGUCCUCAGAAAGGUGGUUCCUGGACUGACCUCUGCCGGCGCAUAAGCUCCACAGUUUCACUGUUCCGCCUGGGCUGCGGGCUGCGGGGCUGGUUGGUGGAGUUGGCUUAGAGAAGGGUGAGACAAAGUCCUCUAAACCAAGAAGCAACGGAGGAAAGUCAGUGACUUCCAGGACCAGGAACUCGGUGGCAGAACCUUGGGAUAGAAUGCAGGCAAGAGUGUGGAAAUAGGACCCACUGCUCAAUUCCCUGCCUCUCCUCUCUCAAGGAUUGCCAGGGGUCGCCAUGAAGAGCUGGGUAUAAAGAUGGGCAGAUUCUUUACCAGCUGAGACACAAGGGAAGCCCUCACAUCCAUAAAAGAUGGGAUCACCUUUAAAGAGACACCUGAGAUUUCUCCAUGUCUGAAGUGGGACAGAUUCUCCAGGCCACCACCAGGGACAUUAGUGUGAGCAGAUGCCCUGCUGAGGAGGAGCAAAGAGAUAUGGAUUCCUACAGCAUUUGUCCUGGAAAUACUUUACCAUGUACAGCCACAGUCACCAAGCCACUUGGCAGCAGCUCAGCCCCUCUUCCCAGAUAAGGGGUCUGGCCUUCCUUGAGGAGGGCACUUGAGUUUGAGUUUAUUCCUUCAGAAUCACAGCAAGAGCUGGGCCAAAGAAUCCUGGGGCUUCCUAGAAGGACUUGGAGAAAAGGCAGCUUCCACAGUGUUCCAGGCAGGGUGGGACGCAGACAGAAACCAGACCCAGUUCUGCUCUCAAAGAGCUCCCGCUUCAUUGCAAGAUGGGCACGGAGCUAUUACUGUUUAUUGCCAAGGCUCAGAGGAGAGCUGCUCUCGGUAGAAUGGGUUCCAGAAGCAGAAGCAGCCAGAGCUACAGAUACUCCACAGGUAUAUAUCCUGUAAACACAUGUGAAAACUCUGGAUUCUACCUGCCUGGACUGGCUCAGGAGCAGGCCUAUAGACACCAAGGUGAACAAGGCAGUUGUGGUCUCCACGCCUCCCGAACGGAGCAUACCAGGGGAAGCAAUAACAAGGGAGUUUCAGGAAGAUUGUUCAGCAGCUACUUUUGAGAAAUGAGUGGCAGUCCUAUUGUGAGUAAGGGGUUUACAGGACAAGGCCCCAGACAGAACAAAGAAAACACUCCCACCAACUCUCUUGCCAGAAAUGAGCUGAAAUUUUCGGAGAGGUGCGUGAGCCAAAAUUCUCAGGGAGAAGUCCCAGAAGACUGUCCAUCAGCUGCCCUGCCCCCUUGGGCUCCCAGAUCCUCUGUAUAGUCCACUGUUACAGCUCGUUCCAUACUUUAUUGCAAAAACCAGUCCUCUGUGCACAACUACUAGAGCCCAGGAGCCACAACUACUGAGCCCAUGUGCCACAACUGCUGAAACCCGCAUGCCCUGGAGCCUGUGCUCCGCAACAAGAGAAGACAGUGCAAGGAGAAGCCUGCACACCACAAGAGAGUAGCCCCAGCUCACCACAACUAGAGAAAAAGCUCUAGCAAC